UACGUAGGGGGCAAGCGUUAUCCGGAUUUACUGGGUGUAAAGGGAGCGUAGACGGUACUGCAAGUCUGGAGUGAAAACCCGGGGCUCAACCCCGGGACUGCUUUGGAAACUGUGGUACUAGAGUGCAGGAGAGGUAAGCGGAAUUCCUAGUGUAGCGGUGAAAUGCGUAGAUAUUAGGAGGAACACCAGCGGCGAAGGCGGCUUACUGGACUGUAACUGACGUUGAGGCUCGAAAGCGUGGGGAGCAAACAGG
rnacentral:rRNA from 1 species